rnacentral:rRNA from 1 species
CCUACGGGAGGCAGCAGUAGGGAAUCUUCCACAAUGGACGAAAGUCUGAUGGAGCAACGCCGCGUGAGCGAUGAAGGCCUUCGGGUCGUAAAGCUCUGUUGUUAGGGAAGAACAAGUACCGGAGUAACUGCCGGUACCUUGACGGUACCUAACCAGAAAGCCACGGCUAACUACGUGCCAGCAGCCGCGGUAAUACGUAGGUGGCAAGCGUUGUCCGGAAUUAUUGGGCGUAAAGCGCGCGCAGGCGGUCCUUUAAGUCUGAUGUGAAAGCCCACGGCUCAACCGUGGAGGGUCAUUGGAAACUGGGGGACUUGAGUGCAGAAGAGGAAAGCGGAAUUCCACGUGUAGCGGUGAAAUGCGUAGAGAUGUGGAGGAACACCAGUGGCGAAGGCGGCUUUCUGGUCUGUAACUGACGCUGAGGCGCGAAAGCGUGGGGAGCAAACAGGAUUAGAUACCCUGGUAGUCCACGCCGUAAACGAUGAGUGCUAAGUGUUAGGGGGUUUCCGCCCCUUAGUGCUGCAGCUAACGCAUUAAGCACUCCGCCUGGGGAGUACGGCCGCAAGGCUGAAACUUAAAGGAAUUGACGG